AUAAAAUCCAUUAUAAUCUGCAUAAUGGAUUAUGGGCUGAUAAUCCAUUAAAAUAAUGGAUUAGGUCGAGGAAUGAGAAAUCAGCACUCAACAGUACUCCCCAUUAUUCUCUCCGUAUCUCAGACCCAAAUUCUUCCGCCGCUGAUAAAACCGAUGUUCAAUCGCUUACACUUCUUCCCUGUAAUCGUUAAAAAUGGAACACGUUGUUUUCCUUUUUGGGGAUUAUUUCGAUCAUCAUGUUAAUCGAGAUGUUCUCAGUGAUUUUGAAAUUUGGUUUGGUUACCAAGGAAGAUCAAUCACAAAUCAUUAUUUUUUGGAAGAACAAAUUACAGCAUCAACAAAAAAUUGAAAAAAACCUUCACACAUCCGAAAGAAGCAAGCGGAAUCUCAACCGAUUCUCCAUUUUCAGCGAUCUUCUCAAUGCUAUCUGAAAAAGUUAAUGAUAUCUGAUUGAUUUGGUUCAUUUUCUUAUUGUUGAUUUGUUUGCCAUUUGUUCGUGAAAUUUCCAAUAUAGUAUAUUAGUUAAUAAAACUAGGUUUAGUUUUAUGUUUCAUUGUUUGAUUAUUUGAUUGAUGGAAACGUUCAAUUAUUUUUAGUGUUUCAUUGUUUGAUUUUUAGGGUUGGGGUUUUGGUUUUCAUUGUAAAAAAUAUAUGAGUUUAUUGUCAAGGUAUAGGGUCAAUUAUUUAUUUAUUUUCUUCGUUGGUUUUUUACAUAUGUUAAUUAGAGUUCCUCAUUUUGACUACUUUCUUCUGCUAAUGUUUUUCUUCUCUGCGCAUCAAAUAUUUGGUUAGUCAGGUUUGUAAAAAUUUGAUGUUGAAAUAGGGAAAAUGGUUAGAGGAAUACAUUGAUUUAGAUGUUUUUUGUAGGAACUGGAUGGACUUUGAUGACGAAUGAGUGGAAUCCAAUACACCUGGUGAUGGAGCUUCUACAGUAACUGGUUCCAUUAUUUAACGUACUGAAGAAACUUUAUGAGUCUAUAAUGGAGGUUGUGAAGCCUUCCGUAGCCAGGACGCGGUAUCGGGUAACCAGACUUCCUCAACAUCACCAGCACCCUUAAGUUCACAACAACAACUUCUCGGAUUUUUGCCAUUCCACAUGAGAUAAUAGCAAAAUAAGUAAGUUUAACGGGUGGCAGUUGGUAUAUCUUCUAUCAGAAAUAGAAAAUCUGCCAAUGGAAGUAUUUAGGAGGAGAACUUUGACCUCAAAAUAACACCAAGUUUCAUUGUGGCUUAUAUACAUAUUAAAGGUUUCGUAACCAACGUCUUUGGUUUUGAUCUGACAGAAGUUUACAAGUCAUAUCACCCGAAGAGACGACAUGAAGAGAUUCAGGUGUUUUUAGUUUAUUAUCAUCCCUGAUUUUUAAAUGUUGCGGUAGUGGUUGUAUUGUUAAUUGUUUAUGGGUGGGAAUAUGGUAGUGUGUGAGUGAUAUAGAGACGAGGAAUUUGUGUUAAUGGCUUGGCUUUCAUAUAUAUUUAUCUGGCUUCAUAAAAGUUACAUGAUUAAAUGAUUAAACAAUCGGUGCGAAAUGCAUACAAAAAGAAUCAAAAUUACUAAGGGUGACAAUAUUAUAAUCUGCAAACGGUAGUUGCUUCACAACAUUUGGGUACAAAAAUUAUUAAAGCCUAGACCAUUUUCAAUGCAUUUGGUACAACAUCAUUGCUUGAUUGCUUGAUAAAGGGAAUAGCCCUUCUCUGUAUUUGUGAUUGAUGG